GCUGGGCAUGGUGGUGGCACCUGUAGUCCCAGCUACCCAGGAGGCUGAAGUAGGAAGAUCAUUUGAUCCCAGGAGUCCAGGGCCAGCCUGGGUGACAUAUUGAGACCCUAUCUAUU
rnacentral:sRNA from 1 species